rnacentral:rRNA from 1 species
GACGAGGGGUCCUAGCGUUGUUCGGAAUCAUUGGGCGUAAAGCGUGUGUAGGUGGCUAUUCAAGUCAGUUGUGAAAUCCCCGGGCUCAACCCGGGAAGUGCUUCUGAUACUGUUUAGCUUGAGUACUGGAGAGGAUAGUAGAAUUCCUGGUGUAGUGGUGAAAUACGUAGAUAUCAGGAGGAAUACCGGUGGCGAAGGCGGCUAUCUGGCCAUGUACUGACGCUGAGGCGCGAAAGCGUGGGGAGCAAACAGG